CUUUGGGGGACCCAUUCACUCUACCCGUCUGUCUUUGUACCCAUACUGGUUUACUGUAAUGUUUGAAGUGGUAUUGUGAAUAAACUCAAACUCAAACUCAAAUUACUCUCAUGAAUAGU